rnacentral:rRNA from 1 species
GAUGAACGCUGGCGGCGUGCUUAACACAUGCAAGUCGAACGGAGUACCCUUGAAGGAGUUUUCGGACAACUGAAAGGACUACUUAGUGGCGGACGGGUGAGUAACGCGUGAGUAACCUGCCUUGGAGUGGGGAAUAACAGUUGGAAACAGCUGCUAAUACCGCAUAAUAUGUCUGUGUCGCAUGGCACUGGACAUCAAAGAUUUAUCGCUCUGAGAUGGACUCGCGUCUGAUUAGCUGGUUGGCGGGGUAACGGCCCACCAAGGCGACGAUCAGUAGCCGGACUGAGAGGUUGGCCGGCCACAUUGGGACUGAGACACGGCCCAG